CCUACGGGAGGCAGCAGUGGGGAAUAUUGGGCAAUGGGCGCAAGCCUGACCCAGCAACGCCGCGUGAAGGAAGAAGGCUUUCGGGUUGUAAACUUCUUUUCUCAGGGACGAAGCAAGUGACGGUCCCUGAGGAAUAAGCCACGGCUAACUACGUGCCAGCAGCCGCGGUAAUACGUAGGUGGCAAGCGUUAUCCGGAUUUACUGGGUGUAAAGGGCGGGUAGGCGGGACUGCAAGUCAGAUGUGAAAACCACGGGCUCAACCCUGAGCCUGCAUUUGAAACUGUGUGUCUUGAGUGCGGGAGAGGCAAUCGGAAUUCCGUGUGUAGCGGUGAAAUGCGUAGAUAUACGGAGGAACACCAGUGGCGAAGGCGGAUUGCUGGACAGUAACUGACGCUGAGGCGCGAAAGCGUGGGGAGCAAACAGGAUUAGAUACCCUUGUAGUC
rnacentral:rRNA from 1 species